rnacentral:rRNA from 1 species
CCUACGGGUGGCAGCAGUCGAGAAUCAUUCACAAUGGGGGAAACCCUGAUGGUGCGACGCCGCGUGGGGGAAUGAAGGUCUUCGGAUUGUAAACCCCUGUCAUGUGGGAGCAAAUUAAAAAGAUAGUACCACAAGAGGAAGAGACGGCUAACUCUGUGCCAGCAGCCGCGGUAAUCCAGAGGUCUCAGGCGUUGUUCGGAAUCCCUGGGCGUAACGCGUGCGUAGGCUGUUUCGUAAGUCGUGUGUGAAAGGCGCGGGCUAAACCCGCGGACUGAACAGGAUACUGCGAGACUAGAGUAAUGGAGGGGGAACCGGAAUUCUCGGUGUAGCAGUGAGAUGCGUAGAUAUCGAGAGGAACACUCGUGGCGAAGGCGGGUUCCUGGACAUUAACUGACGCUGAGGCACGAAGGCCAGGGGAGCGAAAGGGAUUAGAUACCCUAGUAGUC